rnacentral:lncRNA from 1 species
GAGGGGACCAAAACACCUACUAGGGUAGAGAUGUAAGGAUAUGGAAGAAGAAAAAUAAUAACUGAAAUAUUUAACUCAAUAUUUUACAUAGAAAGCUGGUUUUAGUUUGGCCUCUAAACUAUGAAACUAAACAUGAUUGUCAUCUUCAAAAUGACAGGAAGGUAAAGGAUUAUUUCUACUAAGUACAAGGAAGGUGAUCAAAAUUUGUACACAGCACAGCCAUGCUUUCCUACUAAGUAUCAUAGAUCUGUUCACACACUCACAAAAUACCCCCAUCUAGAUGCAACAUUAUCACACAAAACUAAAACCAAAACUGAAAUUUCAAACUUUGUUCCAUGGAAAAACUAGAAGUAAUUGAAGUAUAAAAUUAUGAUAUUUAAAACAAAAGGAAGGAAAAUAAAUUUAUUAAAAUUAUUUGGACAAUCAACAGCCUUAGUCAUUCUAUAUUUAUGAUCCACCAAAGCUUGAAGACAUCUUAUGGUUGGCUCUCAACCUGAUGUCAUCCUCCAUGAAUCAGUGCUGAGGCAACGUAAUUCACAUAAAUCUAUUUUCACAAAAUUUUGGUAAAUUUUAAUUGCAAUAGCUGAUUCAUUAAAUUAAAAAAAAAGUUAUUGGGCAUCAAUCGUGCACAGGGAAUCGGUAUGAAUUUUUAUUAAAAAGUGGAGACUAAUCCUGACUGUUGAUCAUUAGUAGGUAUCCCAGGAAAUUUGCUUCAACUGG